rnacentral:lncRNA from 1 species
AUUAAAAAAGAAAAAACAGGACUGGUUGAAAGAUUGUCCAGGAGCGCGGCACCCUCAGCUCUCUUCUUCCGGCACACAUUGGUUGUUCUGCACCCUGGAUGAACCCGUCUGUCCUGGAGGAAAGCAGGGUCCUGGACCUUCAGCACGGGGCCCAGGAGAAGGACAACAUGAGGCAGAGUGAACAUUGUGUGCACAGGAAGGAAGCCCUUAUUGUUGUAAGCAUCUACAGUUCUAGGAAUUGUUACCCGAGCAUUGCACAGCAAAAGGUGACUGCUGCCUCCCCAGUGACAGUUGCAGCCAGGAUUGGCAGGAAGGGCAUUCUGUCUGCUGCAUGGGAUGAGCACUCCUGGCGCCUCGGAGACAAAGGUCUGGACUAUCCCUGAAGAGGCACCUUUGACCCAGACACAGCCACCUUCAUGGAGCUCACCAGCUGGCAGCAUGAAUAAGCACCUCCCUCUUUUGGACUGUGGGCUGCAGAUGGCUCAAAGAGGCUAGAGUGGGAGGACAUAAGUUAGGGCAUCUCCCUUGAGGAAUCCUGGCCAUAUUCCAGGAAUUUGCAAGGCCUGGAGGUCCCGGGCAGGAAGGUAGGAACAAUGAAUGACCUGGUAAAAACUGGGUCUUUAAUUGUGCCAAUUAUUAAGCUUUUUCUCUCUCAGGGCUCUGAGUUUCAUUGCUUCUUUGCCACAUGGCUGUCAGGCACUGCCAAUAGGAGACUGCAAGGCUCUAGGAAAAACUGGAAUUCUCUUCCUGUUUGCUGUCCCUGGCAGCAUUGCAUGGGCACACACCCCUCACUCUGGUGGCCGCAGUUGGUUUCUGUCCUUUCCAUGUUCCCAGGAGCAGCCUUUUGUACCCAGCCAGGAGGAUAGCACAGGCAGACAAGGACCUCUGCUCAGGGCUCUGAGCCCCUAAUCCAUGGGUCCCUCCUGCAAGUCUCUAUUCUGAUAACCCACCCUCCCUGUCCUGUUUCCAUCACCGAACCCCACCUGGUACAGGAAUGCAAAGUCCACCUUUAGCUUCCGGGGGUAGAGGCUGGGUCACGCUACCUGAGAUAACCACCCAAGGUUUAGGGAGUCUUUGGUCCUAAACCUUGUGAGCCAGAGGACUGGUCCAAGUAGUUGCUGAGCAUUAUUGUAUGCCCCAGAUUAUACCAGAUGUUGUACAAGAUACGAGACACUUAAACUACAGUCCUGAUUGCCAAAAAGUUCGGCUGGAAAGAAGGGCUAAGUCCACAUUCACAUCCGGAGAAGGAACAGUUUGUGAAUGCCAGAAUGGUCAAAAAGGUCACCAAGGAUUCUUUCUUUGAAGGCUAAUCAGGCUUAAACCAGCAACUCCAGGCAUCUUCAAGAUAGACAGAAGUGCCAAGUAGAAUCUACUUGAUAUCCU